rnacentral:rRNA from 1 species
GCUUGUCUCAAAGAUUAAGCCAUGCAUGUCUAAGUAUAAACAAAUCUAUACGUGAAACUGCGAAUGGCUCAUUAUAUCAGUUAUAGUUUAUUUGAUGGUCCUUGCUACUUGGAUAACCGUAGUAAUUCUAGAGCUAAUACAUGCGCAAAGUCCUGACUCGCGAGGGGAGGGAUGUAUUUAUUAGAUACAAAACCAAUGCGGGUUCUGCUCGCCAUUGUGUUGAAUCAUAGUAACUUAUCGAACGCCAUAGCCUUGUGCUGGGCGUAGAUCAUUCAAAUUUCUGCCCUAUCAGCU